rnacentral:rRNA from 1 species
CCUACGGGGGGCAGCAGUGAGGAAUAUUGGGCAAUGGGCGCAAGCCUGACCCAGCAACGCCGCGUGAAGGAAGAAGGCUUUCGGGUUGUACACUUCUUUUCUCAGGGACGAAGAAGGUGUCGGUACCUGAGGAAUAAGCCACGGCUAACUACGUGCCAGCCGGCGCCGGAAUACGUAGGUGGCAAGCGUUAUCCGGAUUUAUUGGGAGUAAAGGGCGUGUAGGCGGGUUCGCAAGUAAGAUGUGAAAACUCAGGGCUCAACCCUGAGCCUGCAUUUGAAACUGUGUUUCUUGAGUGCUGGAGAGGCAAGCGGAAUUCCGUGUGUAGCGGUGAAAUGCGUAGAUAUACGGAGGAACACCAGUGGCGAAGGCGGAUUGCUGGACAGUAACUGACGCUGAGGCGCGAAAGCGUGGGGAGCAAACAGGAGUAGAUACCCCUGUAGUC